rnacentral:rRNA from 1 species
UACGAAGGGGGCUAGCGUUGUUCGGAAUCACUGGGCGUAAAGGGCGCGUAGGCGGCUUUGUAAGUCGGGGGUGAAAGCCUGUGGCUCAACCACAGAAUUGCCUUCGAUACUGCAUGGCUUGAGACCGGAAGAGGUAAGUGGAACUGCGAGUGUAGAGGUGAAAUUCGUAGAUAUUCGCAAGAACACCAGUGGCGAAGGCGGCUUACUGGUCCGGUUCUGACGCUGAGGCGCGAAAGCGUGGGGAGCAAACGGG